CGCGGAGUGGAGCAGUUGGCAGCUCGUCGGGCUCAUAACCCGAAGGUCACAGGUUCGAGUCCUGUCUCCGCAA
rnacentral:tRNA from 1 species